UAUUAUCUAUUUACAUUGCAUACGUUAGUUACAUUUUUGGCCUUGGUUUCCUCCCGUUCGGAAGACGGAUCAGCUACGGAGGUGGGGCUCGACUCCUUGACCUUCCGAACCCUCACUCGCUUUCCCUUGGUCAGCUCAUCCUCCACUGCCUCUCUGGUGUCUGGAUCAGGGGUAAAGAACACAAAUGACCGUGCCUUUAACAAAUAGUGGGGAAGGACAAAGCAUGGAGGAUGUUGAGACCAUGUCUCCAUCUCGGCACAACAGCCCUCCUGCUGGCACCACUGAUCUG